GGACGCUGAAAGAGGAAUCCGCCUCAUUCCAUCCGUUGGCUGGCCCCUCUAAUCCCUCUGGACAGAGAGGCUUCCAACCAGCAUCGCCGCCGCCCCCCACACUCUUCCCAAGACGCGGCUGCGCUGAACCUCAGGACGUGCAAAGAGACAUGUAAUGGAGGAGCCCUGCGGUUAAUCUGCUAUAUACAGAAUGUAGAGAAAGCAUUGGAUCAAAAAAAAGUACAGCAGGAUCCCCCAGAUGGUUUGAAAGCACAUUCAAUCAACGUUCACAGCACUGUUGAGGGGCCUUGAUGUUCCGGACAUUUGCAGAGCAGCAACUUGGUCCCCUGCAUCCACUUUUGUUACGCAUUACUGACUGAAACUCAGGGCGAAAAAGGAAGCAAGCUUCGGGAGAGCAGUUCUGACAUCGGUCUUGGAGUGACGGCCCUCCUUCCGAAUAUUCCAAGGAGUCCUAUGCUGGAGGAGACUGAAACCUGUUGUGUGAAUUCAGAGAGUUUCACUUGAAGAACCAUGGUUAAUGGUAAGUACCCUCUCUGUCUGUCAGCAGAGGUACUCUACUGCAUAUAUCAUCAACAUUUUUCCGACCGCGAUCCGGCUGAGCCUCUUAGGGAGGCAGGGCACCCCCUCACACUUCAACUCUUGCACGUAUGUGCGAAGUGUGGGGAGAAUGUGUGUGCCUCUAGUGGGAGCACGCUCGGCUACCACUUCACCCAUGCCGGGUGGCUGGCAUCCAGAGCAUGUGGCCAUCCUCAGCCUCCCAGACUUUAGCCACCUCCACUGCCAGGGCCGCCGGGAGGCCAGUAUCCGGAGCACCCGGCCAUGUUCAGCCUCCCAGCCGUUAGCCAAUGCCACCGCCAGAGAUGCGGGGAAGCUAGCAUCAGGAGCACCCAGCCAUGGUCAGCCUCCCAGCACUUCAGAACCCCCUUUGCUGUCCAUGCCACCGGGGAGCCAGCAUCUGGAGCACCCGGCCAUGGUCAGCAUAACAGAUCUCGACAACCUCCUUUGGUGCCGAUGCCAACUGGAGGCCAGCAUCUGGAGCCCCCGAUCAUUCUCAGCCUCCUGGUUCUUGACCACACCCGCUGCCUCUACUAGGAGGCCAGCAUCCUUAGCACUCGCCUAUGGUCAGCCUUGCAGCUCUUGGCAACCUCCUUUGCAGCCCAUGCCGCCUGGAAGCCAGCAUCUGCAGCAUCUGCCCAUGGUCAGCAUAACAGUUCUUGACAACCCUCUUUGGUGCUGAUGCCACCAGGAGGCCAGCAUCUGGAG